GGCGUUCUGUGCUUCCCGGCAGGAGGAACUUAUCCCCGGGGCCUUAUCGAUCCUCAAGGGAGCUGUCCCUGUCCGGACCCGUGGGUUCGGGUACACGGCGCCCACCUACUUUGUAGGCACCCGGGAUCGACAUCUUCACCGGUUGUGUGGAUCGCCG
rnacentral:other from 1 species